rnacentral:rRNA from 1 species
GAUGAACGCUGGCGGCGUGCCUAAUACAUGCAAGUCGAGCGAACAGACGAGGAGCUUGCCCCUCUGAAGUUAGCGGCGGACGGGUGAGUAACACGUGGAUAACCUACCUAUAAGACUGGGAUAACUUCGGGAACCCGGAGCUAAUACCGGAUAAUAUAUUGAACCGCAUGGUUCAAUAGUGAAAGACGGUUUUGCUGUCCCUUAUAGAUGGAUCCGCGCCGCAUUAGCUAGUUGGUAAGGUAACGGCUUACCAAGGCAACGAUGCGUAGCCGACCUGAGAGGGUGAUCGGCCACACUGGAACUGAGACACGGUCCAGACUCCUACGGGAGGCAGCAGUAGGGAAUCUUCCGCAAUGGGCGAAAGCUUGACGGAGCAACGCCGCGUGAGUGAUGAAGGUCUUCGGAUCGUAAAACUCUGUUAUUAGGGAAGAACAAAUGUGUAAGUAACUAUGCACGUCUUGACGGUACCUAAUCAGAAAGCCACGGCUAACUACGUG